rnacentral:rRNA from 1 species
AGCGAACGCUGGCGGCAGGCUUAACACAUGCAAGUCGAGCGGGCAUCCUUGUGGUGUCAGCGGCAGACGGGUGAGUAACGCGUGGGAACGUGCCCUUCGGUUCGCAAUAACUCAGGGAAACUUGAGCUAAUACCGGAUACGCCCUUUUGGGGGAAGGUUUACUGCCGAAGGAUCGGCGCGCGUCUGCUUAGCUAGUGGGUGAGGUUAUGGCUCACCAAGGCGACGAUCAGGAGCUGGUCUGAGAGGAUGAUCAGCCACACUGGGACUGAGACACGGACCAGAAUCCUACGGGAGGGAGGAGUGGGGAAUAUUGGACAAGGGGGGCAAACCUGAUCCAGCCAUGCCGGGUGAGUGAUGACGGCCUUAGGGUUGUAAAGCUGUUUUCUCCGGGACGAUAAUGACGGUACCGGAGGAAUAAGCCCCGGCUAACUUCGUG